UACGGGGGGGUAAGCGUUGUUCGGAAUUACUGGGCGUAAAGGGCUCGUAGGCGGCCAACUAAGUCAUACGUGAAAUCCCUCAGCUUAACUGGGGAACUGCGUGUGAUACUGGAUGGCUUGGAUUUGGGAGAGGGAUGCGGAAUUCCAGGUGUAGCGGUGAAAUGCGUAGAUAUCUGGAGGAACACCGGUGGCGAAGGCGGCAUCCUGGACCAAUAUUGACGCUGAGGCGCGAAAGCUAGGGGAGCAAACGGG
rnacentral:rRNA from 1 species